CUGUCUGAAUAUGGGGGGACCAUCCUCCAAGGCUAAAUACUCCUGACUGACCGAUAGUGAACCAGUACCGUGAGGGAAAGGCGAAAAGAACCCCGGCGAGGGGAGUGAAAAAGAACCUGAAACCGUGUACGUACAAGCAGUGGGAGCACAGGUUUACCUGUGUGACUGCGUACCUUUUGUAUAAUGGGUCAGCGACUUAUAUUCUGUAGCAAGGUUAACCGAAUAGGGGAGCCGGAGGGAAACCGAGUCUUAAUUGGGCGUUAAGUUGCAGGGUAUAGACCCGAAACCCGGUGAUCUAGCCAUGGGCAGGUUGAAGGUUGGGUAACACUAACUGGAGGACCGAACCGACUAAUGUUGAAAAAUUAGCGGAUGACCUGUGGCUGG
rnacentral:rRNA from 1 species